rnacentral:rRNA from 1 species
UACGAAGGGGGCUAGCGUUGCUCGGAAUCACUGGGCGUAAAGCGCACGUAGGCGGAUUGCUAAGUCAGGGGUGAAAUCCUGGAGCUCAACUCCAGAACUGCCUUCGAUACUGGCGAUCUCGAGUUCGGGAGAGGUGAGUGGAACUGCGAGUGUAGAGGUGAAAUUCGUAGAUAUUCGCAAGAACACCAGUGGCGAAGGCGGCUCACUGGCCCGAUACGUGACGCUGAGGUGGCG